CAUUUCUCAAUGGUGUCCUCAUUCUGGCGCUUCCUUCCUGAAGUACGUCUACGUUCUCUUCCGUACGUCGUUCCAAUGAAUUUGUAUCCGGCGGACGCGUACUGCGUGAUGGUGGGAGGGUAGCCAACCGAAGCAAAACGUCCUCUCUCGUUCGGUUGACGAGGACUGUACGGCCGUCUGCCAUACACUAAUCUGUCGCUUUUCUCCUCAUUUUCGAUGCAUUUUAUCCUUCUGGAGUGGGGGCUUCUAAUCCAAAACUUCG
ensembl:ncRNA T19A5.8 ncRNA